rnacentral:rRNA from 1 species
GACGAACGCUGGCGGCGUGCUUAACACAUGCAAGUCGAACGGAAAGGCCCUGCUUUUGUUGGUUUCUCGAGUGGCGAACGGGUGAGUAACACGUGAGUAACCUGCCCUUGACUUUGGGAUAACUUCACGAAACUGGGGCUAAUACCGGAUAGGAGCUCCUGCUGCAUGGGGGUGGUUGGAAAGUUUCGGCGGUUGGGGAUGGACUCGCUGCUUAUCAGCUUGUUUGUGUAGUUGGUGCUUACCAAGGCUUUGACGGGUAGCCGGCAUUAGAGGGUUGCCGGCCACAUGGGGCCUAAGAUACGGACCAGACUCCAAUGGGAGGCAGUAGUGGGGAAUAUUGCGCAAUGAGCGGACGCCUGAUGCAGAAACGCCGCGUGCGGGAUGACGGCCUUCGGGUUGUGAACCGAUUUCGCAUGUGCCGAAGAGUGAGUGACGGUAAUGAGUAAAGAAGCAACGGCUAACUACGUG